CCCGAGUAGCUGGGACUACAAGCGUGUGCCACCACGCCUGGAAAACAACAACAGUAACAACAACAAAAACUCAAGAAACAGGAAUGCAAGCUCUACAUUUUGUUAAACUAAGGACAUUUCUUACUCGUAACAAUCAGAUAUAAAAAAGUGCUGCCACAGGGGCAAGAAUGAUGCUCAGAAGGUCUUUAAUGGCUACAAAUCUUGGAUUAAGCUGACUGAGCAGUUCUUACACCGAGAAGCAAAACAACAACCUUUUGUUUCAAGAAACAGGAUAUUCCACUAUAAAGGUAAAACUUAUAAAAACAGAAAACCUAAAAAGGAGAAAUCAGAAAGAAGGUAAAGCAUGCUAUUUUUUAAAUUUGUAAUGUUUAAUAUUUGUGAGUACAUAGAAGGUAUAUAUAUUUAUGGAUUACAUGAGCUAUUUUGAUACAGGCAUGCAAUGCAUAAAAAUGACAAUAGAGUAAAUGAGAUA
rnacentral:lncRNA from 1 species